AAAUUUUAACCAAUAUGACCACUGAACUUGCCACGUACUUCCUUAACACAAUGCAGCAAAAUCAUAUUCGGUGCGGAUAACACAGAUGUGCUAGAAGAUUAAGAAAUGUAACAGGCUUAUGUUUCUACAACUGUUCCUAUGAUGUCCCAGCGUGCCUAUCUAUAGGUUCUUCCAUUUGUAGGAAAUAUCUUGUUACCUAAUUUCAUUUUAUGCUCUGCAUCGCUCUUUUUUUAGUCUUACAAGGGUGCGAAUGGAUGAAAGGCUGAGGAACAUACGCAGAGAUGUAUCUCUGCUGCUUACAUUGUUCUUGUGCUCGAACAUGGGGAAUGACGCUGUGCUGGAGUGGAGUUUAAAAAAAUAACGGAAGCAGAGACCAGUCUCGGUGACAAGGAUGCUGCAUCGGUUGGUCUUAUACCAUAACAAUGUCCUACUUCAAAGAUGAUCUCAGCGAACUCAUACGAGUACAUGAGCGCACCGCUAGGCCUGUGGAAUAAAUUCUUGGUACCCGGUGGACCACGGAUGCACGUGACAGGCCCAGAUCAUCGCCUCUAUCGUCACUUAUCGUACAAGUCUAUCUGCACGGAAAAACAACGUAGCAACGCCCACUUCACAGGGAAUGUGCAGGGUGCCGACGACAUAAAAAGGACCAGCAGAACGAAGACCAAUUCCAGUUUGGAGGCAGUGCGCAUCGGAGUAGCAACUAAAUAUUGUGCUUGGUUUCACAGGUCAUUCCAUCUUUUAAUACAACUGCCAUCUCUUUGUGGAUAGGGAGCUUAUAAUACCCAGCAUCGGCUUGAAGCUGGCUAUUGAAUACCUGUUUCUGUCCACUACUGCUUGAUCAUCAAAUAUGGCGAGCCUUGAAUUUCUUCAUAGCUUGGCAGAUGAACCUGCAGCAGAACCAAGUGGAUGUGUCACAUGUAAGAGGACGAAGUUCGCAGAGCGUUCCGAACCACGAGAGCGCGCGAGGCGCGUGAACCGAGCUGUGAUCGUGGAAGAAACAGCACGGUUCGAUUAUUAUCGACGUGGCUCUUGAGCUGGAAGGUCGCCUCGUCAGCCAUGCUCUGACGACGGAAGAGCGGAGGACCCGGCCACGAAGUCGUGAGACUGGCAAGGCCCAAGUGUAGCUGUAGUCCUCGGAGACGUCCGGACGAAGCUCCUGGGACCGGCCACUGCUGCUCACGGUGGUUCCGAUCUUCUUCUCGAGAAUCCCUCUUCCUCGGCCAAGCCCGUUCAACUGAUAAUCACCGGGGCACCGGGCUGCCACGCAGAUCGUCGUAGGGCGAAGAACACUUCAUUAGGCAAGUGACACGUCAGCGGCGGCUGCUGGAGCUCCAGCCACGUACUCGGCCAGGUCAACGGAACCGCGAGUCGUCGGCAAUUUAUGGCAUUAGCGACAACCCGAACGAACAAGACGCGAGGCCUAACUCAGCGAGUAACAUGUCAGCGGCGGCCACCGGGGCACCAGCCACGUGUUCUUGGCCAGGUCGACGGAACCGCGAGGCGUCGGCAACUACGGCACCCGCAACGCUUCGGACGAACGAAACCGACGUAAGAAUUCGCACUUCCCUGAUUGCGGCGCAGUUAGGCUGAAUCCAGGGUGGCCAGACUCUUACGAGUCAGCGCUAGGACUGACUGAGAGAUCUUAAAGCGGAGAUAGUUAUGUUUAAGUAGUUUGUAGUUGAUCUGAGUUUGUUGUUUGAGUUCGAGUGAAGACUUUUGUUGAAUUAUAAUUUUAGUUUAGUGUGCCGCGUGCUUUUAUCAUCCCUGUACAUAUUAAAUCCUUGUUUGCUGUGCUGCCAGUUGUCUCUCCUCCAUCGAGAGUAGCGCAUGUACGCAACUCUCCUGCUCCCAAGCGAGUAGAAGGUGACAGGAUGCCAAGCCAGCGAGGCAUCAACCACCGUGGCCAAGAAAACAAGCAAAACGCCGAGACGAGACGCCACAAAACAACUUUUGACCGGUUCAUUUCGGCACUAGAAAA
rnacentral:lncRNA from 1 species